AUGGGACUAAUCUGUAUUGGUGAAUAUGUUGUCAAGAACUCGAAUGGCAUUGACAUAGCCAAGCUGAUCAAGCACUCGGCAGAGAACCGCGGGAUCAAGGGCUCUGACAAAAGGCGACGCCGUCGAUCCGACCUCGCUGCUCAUGGAAGAGUGCGACGUGCUCAUCCCGGCAGCUCUGGGAGGAGUCAUAAAAAAAUUCUGGCAAAGAAGGGCGUGCUGAUCCUACCGGACAUCAUGGCCAACUCCGGCGUAGUGAUGGUGAGCUGCUUCGAGUGGGUGCAGAACAUCCAGGGGUUCAUGUGGGACGAGGAGAAGAAUUGGCUCAAUUUGGAAGAAUGCCUACAUCAUAUGAACUUCUUGCCCGCUUUGCACGCGUUGCUACAUGUGCAUUAUCAUGCCUCAGCCAUAAUCAUUGCCGACAAAUAUGGAACAGAAGAACCUGAAAUUUUUCUUGUGGAGUCGACUGAAGUAAUCCAUCAAGCUAGCUGCAUUAUUGAUUCUAUUCUUUUUGCUGGCGAGUGUUUUAGAUGUAAGGUUACUCCGAUGCAGAAAGGUAUGGAUCAGAUGGUGCAAAUGAUAGAAGUGGAACUUGCAGCUCAUUAG
rnacentral:rRNA from 1 species